rnacentral:rRNA from 1 species
AGAGCGAACGCUGGCGGCAGGCCUAACACAUGCAAGUCGAGCGCCCCGCAAGGGGAGCGGCAGACGGGAGAGUAACACGUGGGAACGUACCCUUUGGUUCGGAACAACACAGGGAAACUUGUGCUAAUACCGGAUAAGCCCUUACGGGGAAAGAUUUAUUGCCAAAGGAUCGGCCCGCGUCUGAUUAGCUUGUUGGUGAGGUAACGGCUCACCAAGGCUACGAUCAGUAGCUGGUCUGAGAGGAUGAUCAGCCUCACUGGGACUGAGACACGGCCCAGACUCCUACGGGAGGCAGCAGUGGGGAAUAUUGGACAAUGGGCGCAAGCCUGAUCCAGCCAUGCCGCGUGGAUGAUGAAGGCCCUAGGGUUGUAAAGUCCUUUCGACGGGAAGAUAAUGACGGUACCCGUAGAAGAAGCCCCGGCUAACUUCGCGCCAGCAGCCGC